ACUGCGAGUGAAGCGGGAAAAGCUCAAAUUUAAAAUCUGGCGGUCUUUGGCCGUCCGAGUUGUAGUCUGGAGAAGUGCUUUCCGCGCUGGACCGUGUAUAAGUCUCUUGGAGCAGAGCGUCAUAGAGGGUGAGAAUCCCGUCUUUGACACGGACUACCAGUGCUUUGUGAUGCGCUCUCAAAGAGUCGAGUUGUUUGGGAAUGCAGCUCAAAAUGGGUGGUGAAUUCCAUCUAAAGCUAAAUAUUGGCGAGAGACCGAUAGCGAACAAGUACCGUGAGGGAAAGAUGAAAAGCACUUUGGAAAGAGAGUUAAACAGUACGUGAAAUUGCUGAAAGGGAAACGCUUGAAGUCAGUCGCGUUGUCCGGAACUCAGCCUUGCUUUUGCUUGGUGCACUUUCCGGAUGACGGGUCAGCAUCGAUUUUGACCGUCGGAAAAGGGCUGGAGUAAUGUGGCACCUCCGGGUGUGUUAUAGACUCUGGUCGCAUACGGCGGUUGGGAUCGAGGAACGCAGCGCGCCGCAAGGCAGGGGUUCGCCCACU
rnacentral:rRNA from 1 species